GAGAGGGAGAGUGCGGCCGACGGUGGCCUUCGGGCUGCUGAGGAAAGUCCCCCCACCGACCAGGUACGCAGCCGCAUGCAAGUGCGGGUGGCGAGAGUCACGGCAAUGACACAGAAACGACACGCCCCGCCGUCAGUGAUGAAACGGCCGAGCCUUCGGGCGAGAAGCGCACAUAGGUUGCGCGAGUUAACCCGUUGAACGUAGCGGCGGGAACCGAUGAAACGGUGAAUCCCUGCGGGUGCAAGCCAAGAACAGGGCAUAAGGGCGCCUGGGCCUGUCCGGGUAUGGCGCGUAGCUGAAUGCCGCACAGAACAGAAGGGGGCUUACUCCUCCGACUC
rnacentral:RNase_P_RNA from 1 species